GAUGAACGCUAGCUACAGGCUUAACACAUGCAAGUCGAGGGGAAACGGCAUUGAGUGCUUGCACUCUUUGGACGUCGACCGGCGCACGGGUGAGUAACGCGUAUCCAACCUUCCCAUUACUGUGGGAUAACCUGCCGAAAGGCAGACUAAUACCGCAUAGUCUUCGAUGACGGCAUCAGAUUUGAAGUAAAGAUUUAUCGGUAAUGGAUGGGGAUGCGUCUGAUUAGCUUGUUGGCGGGGUAACGGCCCACCAAGGCUACGAUCAGUAGGGGUUCUGAGAGGAAGGUCCCCCACAUUGGAACUGAGACACGGUCCAAACUCCUACGGGAGGCAGCAGUGAGGAAUAUUGGGCAAUGGACGGAAGUCUGAACCAGCCAAGUAGCGUGCAGGAUGACGGCCCUAUGGGUUGUAAACUGCUUUUGUAUGGGGAUAAAGUUAGGGACGGGUCCCUAUUUGCAGGUACCAUACGAAUAAGGACCGGCUAAUUCCGUG
rnacentral:rRNA from 1 species